UACAGAGGGUGCGAGCGUUAAUCGGAAUUACUGGGCGUAAAGGGCGCGUAGGCGGCCUGUUAAGUCGAACGUGAAAUCCCCGGGCUCAACCCGGGAACUGCGUCCGAUACUGGCAGGCUUGAAUCCGGGAGAGGGAUGCGGAAUUCCAGGUGUAGCGGUGAAAUGCGUAGAUAUCUGGAGGAACACCGGUGGCGAAGGCGGCAUCCUGGACCGGUAGUUGACGCUGAGGCGCGAAAGCCAGGG
rnacentral:rRNA from 1 species